GUUUUUCAGUAUUUAAUUAAAAUUCUCUGUGAUUUAUGAUUUGUUGAUGUUUACAGAGAAAUCCAAAUACUAAAAAAAAGAUAAUAUUCAAGUUAUUAUUAAGGUUAAAUAGCUGUUCAAAGAUAAAUGAAGAUGCUUAAGCGGCUACUGUGCGUAGAAAUGAGACAGAACAAAGGAGCAACCACAAACGUGAGGGGGAGAACGUCAGAUGAGUUGAGGAAUAGCGUUCUUAAAUGAGUGUGAAGGACUUUAAAUUAGAUAAUUGUGUUGUUUGCACUUUAAAUCGUGUCUUGAAGCAAAGCCAAGUGAAGGAAAUGCGUGACACAUCGGAAGAAGUCAAUUAAUUAACACGUAAAUGCAGGAUAAUAUAAUAAGUAUAGAUGCGAGACUGAUAGAAGCACAGUAUACGUGAAGAACAAUGCUCAUUAAAGAGUACAGAAUUCCACUUCCUCUAACAGUAGAGGAGUAUCGUAUUGCUCAGCUUUAUAUGAUAGCUAAAAAGUCGAGAGAAGAAAGUAAAGGCGUUGGAAGUGGUGUUGAAAUAAUCGUUAAUGAGCCCUACACUGAUGGUCCUGGUGGAAGUGGACAAUAUACUCAUAAAAUCUAUCAUGUUGGUAGUCAUCUUCCUGGUUGGUUUAAAAGUUUACUGCCAAAGUCCGCUUUAACAGCAAAAGAAGAAGCUUGGAAUGCUUAUCCAUAUACCAAAACCAGAUACACUUGUCCUUUUGUUGAAAAGUUUUCAGUAGAAAUUGAAACAUAUUAUUUCCCUGAUAAUGGACAUCAAGAGAAUGUUUUCAAGCUUUCAGGAAGCGACUUACGCAACCGCAUUGUUGAUGUUAUUGAUGUUGUUAAGGAUCAGUUGUUUGGAGCAGAUUAUGUUAAAGAAGAAGAUCCUAAAUUAUACGUUUCGCAAAAGACUGGUAGAGGACCACUUAAUGACUCAUGGCUAGAGGAGUAUUGGAAUGAUGUAAAAGGAAAACAACAGCCUACACCUUCAGGAAAGUCACUCAUGUGUGCUUACAAGCUUUGUAGGGUCGAGUUCCGUUACUGGGGCAUGCAGACUAAACUGGAAAAGUUUAUUCAAGAUGUGGCCCUACGGAAAACGAUGUUAAGAGCACAUCGACAAGCGUGGGCAUGGCAAGAUGAAUGGAUUGGUUUGACAAUGGAUGACAUUAGGGAAAUCGAAAGACAAACACAACUUGCAUUACAAAGAAAAAUGGCUGCUGCUGAAACUGGUGAAGAAGUUGAUGGAUAUGAGGAUAAAAAUGGGGAAGCGAAUACAUCUGCUCCAACACCUCAAGAUAAUGAUGUUGCUAAAACUCUAGCUGCUACGCUUGGUAGUAUUGAGAAAAAUGAAGAUCUUCAGAGUCCUCCGUCCAUUCGUAAGCCUUCUGAAAUUCCAGUUAUUAGUACCAAUAAUUCUGAAGCUGAUAUCAGCCCUGAAGAUUCUCCUACUACAGUUUUACCACCAACUAGAUCACAUACAUCUGAUGAAAAACCUGAAGUUAAAAAACACUGGAAACAUACAAAUCAUAUCCUUCAUUCUCCAAGUUCUGCAAAAAGUUUUGAUAUUCAAAUAGCUAAUUGGCGGAUGGAGAGUAUUGUUCGCGAAUCAGAGUCUGGUAGUGAAGAUGAAUUUUUCGACUGUCAAGAGGACUUUGGGGACAAUACAUCUUUAGCGAAAUGGAGUUCUUUGGACCUUUUGACUGAAAAAGAAGACUCAAUAUCUCCUACAGCAGCCAUGGAUGAGAAAAAAGACAGUAUUUUUUCUCAUACGUAUUUACAACGUGUAGCCAGUGAGCGUAGUAGUAGAAGACUUCACAUUCAUACAUCAGCAAGCAUUGAUUUAUCGUGUCCAGCAUCUCCGCAGCAUUCACCGACUCAUCAGCCAUGCCGAAUAACGGUUUUACUUAUUGUCAUGCAUGCCGGUAGUGUUCUAGAUGCCAAUGUGGACUUGACAGCCAAAAAGUCAGAUAUAACAACCUUCAGGGGUGCCUUUGAAUCAGUAAUGAGACAGCAUUAUCCGAGUAUGGUCGGCCAUAUUGCAGUAAGACUUGUUUCUUGUCCAUCUAUAUGUACUGAAGGCCUUGGGAUUCUUUCAAGUCUUAGUCCAUACAGUUUUGACGUUUCUCCAUCGUGUGUAGAUGCUCCACAUAUUACCCAUGACACCAUUCCAAUCGGUGCAAUUCCAUUACUUGCUUGUUCCAACCCAGAAUAUCAGGAUGCCAUAUCCAAGGUCAUUACAGGAGCCAAUCAAGCCUAUGCAGAAUUUUUGAAGAGUGAAGAAGGCCGAGGAUUUGCUGGUCAAGUCUCCUUAGUUGGAGAUUCUGUCGGGUCUAUUUUAACUUAUGAUGCUCUCUGUCGAACAGUUCAAUACCAGUCGAGACAUGAUAGUGAGAAUAGUAUUUUGGAGACUGACAAUACUGGUGAGAAUAAUGGAGAUGAUAAGCAUCUUUCAGCGCCUUCUCCCAGAAGAAGAUCAUCCUCAACUAGUGAAUGUUCUCAAUGCAAAUUAGAUUUUGACGUUAGUGAAUUCUUCAUGUUUGGAAGCCCAUUGGCAUUAGUUCUAGCAUACAGAAAAGUUUCAUCAAGCAAUGAAAGAUCCGGCAAUAUUUCAAGACCUUUUGUAAAUCAAGUCUACAAUCUCUUCCAUCCGACUGAUCCAGUAGCUGCAAGAUUAGAGCCGCUUAUUUCAGCUAGAUUUUCUCAGUUACCUCCAGUCAAUGUUGCGAGAUAUCAAAAAUAUCCUCUUGGCAAUGGUCAACCUUAUCACUUACUAGAAGCUAUCCAAACGAAUCCGCAAUUAUUUACUGAUGGAUUAAAUACUUCAAGCACACCACAUCUAAGAAGAAUGUCUGAUAUAUCGAUUCAAAGUACAAUGUCUGGUCUUAUUGAUAAUGUUCCACUUCAAGCAGCGUCUUCGUUGACCCAGAAGUGGUGGGGGAGCAAAAGGAUUGAUUACGCCCUGUAUUGUCCUGAAGGUUUAGCCAAUUUUCCCACCAACGCAUUACCUCAUUUAUUCCAUGCGAGCUACUGGGAAUCAUCAGAUGUGAUUGCAUUCAUAUUACGACAAAUUGGAAGGUUUGAUUUGCCGAUGCUUGCUGGAGAGGAAAAGGAGCUUGCUUGCUUCCGUCCAGGUCAACCACGAGAAAAGUGGAAUAAAAAACGUACAUCAGUUAAGCUCAAGAAUGUCGCAGCAAAUCAUAGAGCCAACGACGUCAUUGUAAGGGAAGGUGCGCCACAGAUAUUGAUCGCUCGAUUCAUGUACAGUCCCAUAGACGUGAUUGCUCUGACAGGAGAAAAAGUUGAUAUUCACGUGAUGAAAGACGCACCUGCAGGAGAGUGGACUUACUUGUCUACUGAAGUGACUGAUAAAAAUGGGCGAAUUACUUAUCGCAUUCCCGAUGAAAAAGCUCUUUCUUAUGGUCUCUACCCUAUUAAAAUGGUCGUGCGGGGAGAUCAUACAUCAGUUGACUUUUUCAUGGCUGUGAUACCGCCAAACACGGAAUGUGUGGUAUUCAGUAUAGAUGGUUCAUUUACAGCAAGUAUGUCGGUUACCGGAAGAGAUCCCAAAGUACGUGCAGGUGCUGUUGAUGUCGUGAGACAUUGGCAAGAACUUGGAUACCUUAUCAUCUAUAUCACAGCGAGACCAGAUAUGCAGCAACAAAAAGUUGUAUCUUGGCUAUCUCAACAUAACUUUCCUUAUGGGCUUGUUUCCUUUGCUGAUGGAUUAUCAACGGAUCCUCUAGGUCACAAGGCUGCCUACCUUAAUAACCUUAUACAAGAGCAUAAAGUUAUAAUCCAUCAAGCUUAUGGUAGCAGCAAAGAUAUUGCCGUUUAUACUGCAAUAAAUUUGAAGCCAAAGCAAAUAAUAAUUGUUGGAAAGGUAUCUAAGAAGCAACAAGCUCUUGCAACAAUAUUAACAGAAGGAUAUGCAGCGCAUUUGAGUCAACUUCAGGCCCAUGGUGGGUCAAGACCAGCUCAAGGAAAUGCGAGAAUGGUUAUUCCGCGAGGACAAUUUGGAUUACCGGGUUUAAAUUCAUCGUUACGUCGAAGAAGGUACCGGCUCUGAAGUUGUGUCACAUUGUCGCGAGUCGAUGUUACUCAUAAUUGCUCUCGACAAGAGCACCAAACAUCACGUUCCACGAUAAGAAUAAUCCUUUUGUCGUCAGCCAUGCUAUUAUCCAGAAUUUGCACCCGAUUACGGUUCCGAACAAUCAGACAUCGUUGGCAUGGCAAUAAAAAUUCACAUUUGUUUGCUUCCUGAUGAUCAUCGUGUCAUCGUAGCAACUCCCAUAUGUGAGAUCGGCAGUUGAUCAGUAUUUAGUGAGACAGUUCUUUUAGGACAGCCAAGCGUGCCAUCUUACAAUCAGCAUCUGUGGGCAAGCCGGAGCAGCUUGAAAGAAGCACAAGUGUUGGACCCUCAUCAAGAAGACCUUCUUCACCACCAUCAUCAAAAUCAACGGCUCCUG
rnacentral:misc_RNA from 1 species